rnacentral:misc_RNA from 1 species
UUACUUGGAGUCCGAACUCUCACUUUCUAACCCUGUGCACUUGUUUGGGAUAGUAACUCUCGCAAGAGAGCGAACUCCUAUUCACUUAUAAACACAAAGUCUAUGAAUGUAUUAAAUUUUAUAACAAAAUAAAACUUUCAACAACGGAUCUCUUGGCUCUCGCAUCGAUGAAGAACGCAGCGAAAUGCGAUAAGUAAUGUGAAUUGCAGAAUUCAGUGAAUCAUCGAAUCUUUGAACGCACCUUGCGCUCCAUGGUAUUCCGUGGAGCAUGCCUGUUUGAGUGUCAUGAAUACUUCAACCCUCCUCUUUCUUAAUGAUUGAAGAGGUGUUUGGUUUCUGAGCGCUGCUGGCCUUUACGGUCUAGCUCGUUCGUAAUGCAUUAGCAUCCGCAAUCGAACUUCGGAUUGACUUGGCGUAAUAGACUAUUCGCUGAGGAAUUCUAGUCUUCGGAUUAGAGCCGGGUUGGGUUAAAGGAAGCUUCUAAUCAGAAUGUCUACAUUUUAAGAUUAGAUCUCAAAUCAGGUAGGACUACCCGCUGAACUUAAGCAUAUCAAUAAGCG